rnacentral:rRNA from 1 species
UACGAAGGGGGCUAGCGUUGCUCGGAAUCACUGGGCGUAAAGCGCACGUAGGCGGCUUCUUAAGUCAGGGGUGAAAUCCUGGAGCUCAACUCCAGAACUGCCUUCGAUACUGUAGAGCUUGAGUUCGGGAGAGGUGAGUGGAACUGCGAGUGUAGAGGUGAAAUUCGUAGAUAUUCGCAAGAACACCAGUGGCGAAGGCGGCUCACUGGCCCGAUACUGACGCUGAGGUGCGAAAGCGUGGGGAGCAAACAGG